AGCGAACGCUGGCGGCAGGCCUAACACAUGCAAGUCGAGCGCCCCGCAAGGGGAGCGGCAGACGGGAGAGUAACACGUGGGAACGUGCCCUUUGGUUCGGAACAACCCAGGGAAACUUGGGCUAAUACCGGAUAAGUCCGUAAGGAGACAGAUUUAUCGCCAAAGGAGCGGCCCGCGUCUGAUUAGCUAGUUGGUGAGGUAACGGCUCACCAAGGCGACGAUCAGUAGCUGGUCUGGGAGGAUGAUCAGCCACACUGGGACUGAGACACGGCCCAGACUCCUACGGGAGGCAGCAGUGGUGAAUAUUGGACAAUGGGCGCAAGCCUGAUCCAGCCAUGCCGCGUGGGUAAUGAAGGCCCUAGGGUUGUAAAGCCCUUUCGGCGGGGAAGAUAAUGACGGUACCCGCAGAAGAAGCCCCGGCUAACUUCGUGCCAGCCGCCGCGGUAAGAC
rnacentral:rRNA from 1 species